rnacentral:rRNA from 1 species
ACGUGAUCUGAGUUCAGACCGGAGUAAUCCAGGUCAGUUUCUAUCUAUAAGAAGUCUUCUCUAGUACGAAAGGACCGAAAAGACAUAGCCAAUGCCCCAGCAAGCCAUCCCGACCAACUUAUGACUAAGCUUAAUGAUAAACUAAUUCAACACACAGCCCAAGAAAAAGGCA